GCCAAAUGUGGCUGCAUAGAUCCCAGUAGCACUGUGUGCAAAUAUGACCUGUUAUCUAUCACCAGUGACUGAUGGCU